rnacentral:rRNA from 1 species
GACGAACGCUGGCGGCGUGCUUAACACAUGCAAGUCGAACGGAAAGGCCCGGCUCUUGCGGGGUGCUCGUGAGGCGCACGGGUGAGUAACACGCGAGUAUCAUGUCCUUGUCUUUGGGAUAAAAUUAGGAAAAUGGGGCUAAUACCGGAUAGGAGCUUCUGCUGCACGGUGGGGGUUGGAAAAAUUCGGCGGUUGUGGAUGGUCUCGCAGGUUAUCAGCUUGUUGGUGGGGUAGUGGCUUACCAAGGCUUUGAAGGGUAGCCGGCAUGGGAGGGUGACCAGCCUCAAUGGGACUGAGAGAGGCCCCAGUAGCCAAUGGUAGGCAGCAGUCGGGAAUAUUGCACAAUGGCGCGAAGCCUGAUGCGGCAACGCCGCGUGCGGAAUGACGUCCUUCGAGGUGUAAACCGCUGUCGCCGGUGACGAAGCGUGAGUGACGGUAAUGGGUAAAGAAGCACCGGCUAACUACGUG